rnacentral:rRNA from 1 species
CGAAGGGUGCAAGCGUUAAUCGGAAUUACUGGGCGUAAGGCGUGCGUAGGUGGUUUCUUAAGUCUGCUGUGAAAGCCCUGGGCUCAACCUGGGAAUGGCGGUGGAUACUGAGAAGCUAGAGUGCGGUAGAGGAGGGUGGAAUUCCCGGUGUAGCGGUGAAAUGCGUAGAGAUCGGGAGGAACAUCAGUGGCGAAGGCGGCCCUCUGGACCAGCACUGACGCUGAGGCACGAAAGCGUGGGGAGCAAACAGGAUUAGAUACCCUGGUAGUCCACGCCCUAAACGAUGCGGACUGGACGUUGGGCACAAUUCGGUGCUCAGUGUCGAAGCUAACGCGUUAAGUCCGCCGCCUGGGGAGUACGCUCGCAAGAGUG